UCCACACAGAACAUCAUCAAAGAACUGAUGGACACUUCAUCUCCCUGGGUGAGGGGCAGGUGUACCAUGGUGUCAUGGCCAUUGCUGCCUCGAUUGGGGUGUGGGUGUAGAGAUGGUUUCUAUAACCAGGGCCCAGACAUGGCUGAGAAGGCCUUCUGCCAGGACUCCACCUUGAUGACUCACAGGACUUUGUGCCUUGGCUUUCUCUAUUGAGUGACCCACAGUUUUAAUCCACGGGACCCUGAGUCUGUUUCCUUCCUUCAGCCCCACCAUUUCACCCCAGCACUGUUCAGGUGUAAAAUCGGCUUUCACAUAUUUGUAAGAAUAUCUGGUAAAAUUAUUUAUAUUUUACUUUCACUUCAUGUUAUGACCAUGAGUGUUUUUGCACUUUGCUAAGGCUCGUUGUUUUAAUCGGCCCUCCUUUAUCCCGCUGUGUGUGGAAAUAAAUCAGCCCUAAAUCUGGAUGAGACCUGCAGGUGGACUCCCAUCAGUGCAGGCAUGGUGGGGCAGCAGGAGGAGCCCGUGGUGCCCACCUUCCAGAGCUGCCACCUCUUUUACCUCCUCAUCUUCCUUCCUGUGCACCUAGAGAGAGUCAUCCCCACCCAACAGCUCCUGGACCUGCUGCCCAAAAGGAUCUCCAGUCUUCUUUAAAUUUGGAGAAAUUGCCCAUGAAGGAGCCGACUGCUGUGUCCAGCAUGUGAGGGGGGAGGAACUCCAGCCCAGGAAGGGGCUCCCCUGGACCCUCAGAUGGAGUCGAGUGGAAAAGCAAGAUUUUCUUUGACCAUUGGCUAUGGAUAUUGUCAGGGAUGGUACAGCCUGAAUGAGAAUGUCUACCAUAUUUCCCGAAAUAAGUAUCCCUCAAGGAUGAUACUGUGGACCUCACUCAGGAAGAAUGCGUCCUUCAGAGAAAGCUGCACAGAGAUGUGAUGCUGGAGAAGCAGUCUUCUGGUUACUUUGGAUGAGUCUUUCAACGUUCAUUUAUUUUAUACAAAAUUUUCCAGAAUACUUUCUCUAUAUUCCACCUCCCUGUGUGCCCUCCUUGAUUUAUAUACUUUCAUAGUCCUAUUUACAUGUCCAUAAAGUAAGUGUAUUUCACUUACUCACUGACUGUGCAAUGAAGAGGAGCACCAGGCCCUGGGAGGGGAGCCUGGUGAAGGAGGCUAAGUGCAGUUUGGGGGCUAAGGCUCGGGAAUGGGAGGGAGACUGGGAAGCUCAGGACCAGGCUGCAGACCGGUACCUGUCCAUGGCCUGUUAGGAAACUGGCCGCACAGCAGGAGGUGAGUGGUUGGAGAGCAAGCAUUGCUGCCUGGGCUCUGCCUCCUGUCAGAUCAGCAGUGGCAUUAGAUUCUCACAGAAGCAGCGAACCCUAUUGUGAACUGCACAUGUGAGGGAUCUAGGUUGCACGGUCCUUAUGAGACUGUAAUGCCUGAUCAUCUGAGGUGGAACAGUUUUAUCCCUAAACCAUCUCCACAACAACACCUGAUCCCGUCCAUGGAAAAAUUGUCUUCCCAUCCAUGGAACGGGUCCCAGGUGUCAAAAAGGUUGGGGAUGGCUGCCUAUUUGCACCGUAACCUAUUGAUACAUUCUUUACCAGUCUAUUGUAUGAUCCCAUUUCUUUAUUCAUAAUUAAAUAAUAGUUUGGCUCAGGAAUUUGGGGAAUAACAGAAAAUUAGAUUUUCAGCAGGGAACACAUCAAGGAAGCAUAGAAUCCAAUAAGACACACCCACCUUGCGGUCAGUCCCUCAUGUCCCAGAUCUCAGCAUUUCCUGCUCCGUCUACAUGAGUCCUGUCCCUCCAGGGGUCCUGGAAAAGAAGAACCUCUCCAAAACACUCACAUCUCUCUGGAGGCACUCACUAGAAAGUUGUAAUUGUUUUUGGUAAACGGUAACUGGGAAAGUGUUUUUCAAACUAUCUUUAGCUCCCCCAAGUGUGUACUGUCAUUGUUGCUACAGGUGAAACGAUUAUUGCAGUUUUGAGGGGCGAUGAUGUCACAAGAUCUCGAACCCAUGUCUCAGAACCACCUGCGUCCUCCCACACACUCUGGCUGUCCUGACCAUCACUUCAAGCCCACCAGCCCUGCAGCAAAAAAAAUCAAACGAGUAGUUCAGAAGGCAUAGUCUGCAAGGGAAGGAAGUGUAUUGGGAGGUACAGUAAGUGCUCUCAUCUGGAGAAGGUCUUCUUUGGGGCUAGAAACUGAGCCAGUGCCAAAGCCAUGCAGGAAGGAGGAAAUAAUCAGUGAGCCACGGGCUGAACUUGUGGAGAAGGAAUGGAGGGCAAGGUCACAAACCAGUCCCUAACUGCUUCUAAUUUAGUGUAAUCCUCACUGUUUGUCAUUAUUGCUUUUGAUGGCCAUGAAAUCCUUUUUUUCCCAGUUCUCUAGUAUAAUUUGAAAUUAAUUUCUCAGCUGCUUUAUUUUUCUUCUAGAAGAGUCGGGGACAUUUUCAGGAUUAGUAGAGGUGUUUCUACAACACCUUCAUGCCUUCGAUAAUGUGUAAGAGUUCACCAAUUGAAUUACCUUAUUCUGUUCAGAAGUAGUAACUAUAGAGUUUAACCACUCUGGACGUAUUAUAUACUUAAUGGAGACCAUAGCCGUGUGGUGACUGAAAACAUGCAUUGUCUAGUCCUUAUGGUGAGACUGCUUUCCUUCAUGAAGUCAGCAAAGAAGGGUAACUUUUCUGUAGAUUUUUGUAUUUUUUAAAAAAGGUCAAGAUCUUCAGCAAUUUUCCAAAUUGAAUUGUUUGUGAUAUUUGCUCUGUUUUUAAAAUGUUCUGAGGCCAUUACCAGGUUCAGUGUUUAUCUUAGUACAAUUUAAAUUGAUUCCGUGAAUAAUUUUUCCUGCCUCCAGUUUCCCUUUUACAUAGUGGGCUCAUGUUUUAAUACGUUAAACAAUUCUGACAUUGAAAUAAUUUUAUUUUAUAUUUUUGCAUUCACAAAUACUAAUUUUCUCCAUAUACGAAUGGUAAUGCAGUUUCUCCUCUGCAAUAUUUUAUUGCCUACUCAUGUUUAAUGUCCCCUGGAUUACUGCACUGUCAUUCCAUUGUGCCUUAUUUCUUGGUUAUGAUAAAAAGACUCUCUUUUAAUUCCAGUAUGAAAUCAUUUCUGCAUUCCAUAAAUUUCAUUUGGCAUCUGUGGAAUUAAGGCAUCUUCAUUGUAUCUGGAUCUCUGAAUCAUAAGUGAUAUUUGCCUAUAAAUUAAGCAGUGAUAUUUAAAUAAGAGAUUACCACAAUCAUAUUUUAUAAAUAUACAACCAUUUUUAAAAACCUGACAAAAUCUACAAAAAAAAGAAAAUGGAAUAUAUGUGGAGUUUUAGAAAAGACUGACUAGGUCCAAGGUUGAGGCACAUAGUGGUUAAGCACAUUGUCAGCUCCUGACUCUGCCUCUUACAACGAAGGAAGUGGCUUUAGAUGUUAUUUAGCUAUUAUUUAGCCUUUCUACACCUAAGUUCCCCUCACCUGUAAAAAAAAUAAUAAUAAUAAAGUGCUUACUUUGUAGAAUCAUUGUAAAUGUUCUAUGUAAAAUAUGAAUAUAGUAUACACAGUAAAGAUGUGUGUGUGUGGUGUGUGGUGUGUAGCUCAGCAAUAGAAAAUGGAAUUUAAUAAGAAAGUUAUGAGUUGAAAACAAUGGUAUGUGGACAAUAUUGA